CACCAGGUUGAUUCUGCCUGACGUGGACGCUUGCCUCAAGGAUUAAGCCAUGCAAGCCAGCGAAGUGUUAUGCGAAGCGGCGAACGGCUCAGUAGGACAGGGAUAUCUGGCCACGAAGUAGGAUAACCUCGGGAAACUGUGGCUAAAGCUAGUGUGGGUGAGUUCCUGGCCUAUCAGCUUGUCGGUACGGUAAGUGCGUACCGUGGCAAUUACGGGUAACGGGGAAUCGGGGUUUGAUUCCGGAGAGGGAGCCUGAGAGAUGGCUGCCACGUCCAAGGGCGGCAGCAGGCGCGAAAAUUACCCACUUGGAGGCCCAGAGGUAGUGACGAGGCGUGAACGAUGAGAGCAGUGUAAAAAUCUGUUCCAAAGCGACUAGAGGGCAAGUCUGGUGCCAGCAGCCGCGG
rnacentral:rRNA from 1 species